CGAGGAGCGGGGCCGGAAGUGGCGCCACAGGUCGAUGGUGAAGAUGGUGCUGGCACUGUUGAAGAUGGACGUCAGGGAGGACAUGAGGGCCGCGAUCAUCACUGACAUCAUCAGGCCCCGGAGCCCUACAGACCAAGGGCCUGUCCCCUGGGUGCCGCGUAGCCACUGCAGUCCAUGAUGACAGACCUGGACACAUCUCCCUCAGCUCUUACCUGGGAAGAGGAUCCGGCUGAUCAUGCCUGGCAUCACCAUCAUGAAGAGGGGCAAGAUCUUCAGGACUCAGGCAUGAGUGCUGGCUCUGGAAGAGAAACUGAAAGAUUUAAUCAGAGGUAAGGGCAGGCUCUGCUGGCUCCAGACAAAGGAAAUAGCUGAAAACAACCAAAGAGUGAGUGAGCAGGACUGACGCCUGACGCAUGACAAUGGCUCCGGGAAUCCUUGAAUGCUGCGAUUCAAAGAUGUCCUGAAUGGAAGACUCGUGCUGAGCUGGAAAAGGCAAAACAAGAGGCCUGGUUUUCAAAGGAGCGGAAGGAACCUCAGGAUUCUGCCCCUCGCUCACAUUUGCCUCCCCUGUGAGCAUGCACCAGGAACCACCUGGGCGAAGGGCCGAGGGGUUUGGUUGGCCGUUCGCACAUGCUGUUACCCUACAGCGCACACAGCUGUCGCAGUCGUGUGCUGUGGCUGGGUACAACACUGCGCACGCAUUAGGGGGCCAGGUCUAAGCUUCCGUCCUUUGGAAAAGACCUUCUUCAUGGCAGCAAAAGGCAGUAUUUGGACACUGACUCUCCCAUCGCUGUCGUAGCUGGCGGGGAGCCCAACCACAACAGCAUGAGAACGGGGAAGUGAAAGUGAACAGGUACGCAGCAGGAGGCGAAACCGUCCUGUUCAGCUUCACUGCCCUGGGGGACUGAAAUGCAGAGAACACAAACAGCAUCGAUGGACAACUGAGGAGAUUUUAAGAGGAUUUCUGCUUCAAUAAUCUCCCUUGUUAUUAAGAUCAUGGGGGAUGUUACUGUGAAAUACAGCGGACGAGUGCUAUGCUGACAGCCUGCCUGGGUGAAGGCAUUCUCUUUCUGACCCCUGCUCUUUUGCCAUGAGAGUGUCCCCGUGUCUGCUCAGUGUCAGUCUCACUCUGGGAACAACGUGAAUGCACAGGGAAGCGCGCUGACUUACUCGUAGG